rnacentral:rRNA from 1 species
CUACGGGGUGCAGCAGUGGGGAAUAUUGCACAAUGGGCGCAAGCCUGAUGCAGCCAUGCCGCGUGUAUGAAGAAGGCCUUCGGGUUGUAAAGUACUUUCAGCGGGGAGGAAGGGAGUAAAGUUAAUACCUUUGCCCAUUGACGUUACCCGCAGAAGAAGCACCGGCUAACUCCGUGCCAGCAGCCGCGGUAAUACGGAGGGUGCAAGCGUUAAUCGGAAUUACUGGGCGUAAAGCGCACGCAGGCGGUUUGUUAAGUCAGAUGUGAAAUCCCCGGGCUCAACCUGGGAACUGCAUCUGAUACUGGUAUGCUUGAGCGUCGUAGAGGGGGGUAGAAUUCCAGGUGUAGCGGUGAAAUGCGUAGAGAUCUGGAGGAAUACCGGUGGCGAAGGCGGCCCCCUGGACGAAGACUGACGCUCGGGUGCGAAAGCGUGGGAAGCAAACAGGAUUAGAUACCCGUGUAGUC